UACGGAGGGUGCAAGCGUUGUCCGGAUUUAUUGGGUUUAAAGGGUGCGUAGGCUGCCUGAUAAGUCAGGGGUGAAAUCCCACGGCUCAACCGUGGAACUGCCGUUGAUACUGGCGGGCUUGAGUUCGGUCGAGGCGGGCGGAACUGGUGGUGUAGCGGUGAAAUGCAUAGAUACCACCAAGAACCCCGAUUGCGUAGGCAGCUCGCUAGGCCGAAACUGGCGCUGAGGCACGAAAGCGUGGGGAGCGAACAGG
rnacentral:misc_RNA from 1 species